rnacentral:tRNA from 1 species
GCGGAGGUGCCGGAGUGGCCGAUCGGGGCGGUCUCGAAAACCGUUGUACCCUGCGAAGGGUACCGUGGGUUCGAAUCCCACCCUCCGCC